rnacentral:lncRNA from 1 species
UUCGUGGCCAUGCUGAAAUCCAUCCAGACUCUGUUUAUGGUUGUAGCUUAUCAUGAUUUUGAAAUUUGAUAGGUGGAUGGAAAAUUGCCUUUCUAAAUGGAUAUCUUUAGGAAGAUAUCUAUAUAAAGCAGCCUAUGGGUUUUACAUCCAGUGAUAGUGAUCACAAGGUCUGCAACCUGCAAAGGUAUGUAUAUAGACUCA